rnacentral:lncRNA from 1 species
CUCCCUAUCUUAUUUGGUUAGAACUCCCUCUACCUUUAUUAGUUCUGUUAAUUGCUCUUGAGUUUUAGCAUCCUCUCUUCUAUUUACUUUGUUAGUUCGGUUAAUUUUUUGGCAUGUUUUGUCAUGUAUAAUCAUUUCUAUACAAAGUUCCUGACUCUAUGGCAUCAAAGACUUUCUGGCAAGCACACAAAAUCGUGGAGAUUCACCGAUUAAUUCAUCUUCGGCCAUAAUCAAGAUUUGGUGAAACUCUGAAAAUGGUAUGCGUUUCUUGGCCUUAUUUCUCGCUUCUCAUAUUUAAAUCUGGGAAUGGAUAGUUUUAGCUACUAUGAUUGAGUUGAUGGCCUUGAGCUAUUUGAUCUUUUUUGUAGUUGAGCCCUGUACACGAUAGAUUCGAGAAGAUGAAAAAUAUGCUUGCUAGCAAUUCAUUCCAACUCGCAUGUUUUCAAUUUUAAUUGUGUGUCUGUUAUUAUAUUUCUGUGUUUUAGUUAUUGGGACGAAAGUUAUAAAAUUCAAGCCAUUCCAAAAAUCCUACUAUUACUCAAAGAGUGGAUUUUAAUUUCUAAAUAUCUUUUUUUUUCUAACCAUUAAAUAAUUGAGUUAAAAUAUAACAACAACAAUAACAACCCAGUAUAAUCCACUAGUGGGUCUGGGUCUGGGGAGGAUAGUGUACCCCUAUCUAGGUUAGAGAGGUUGUUUCCGAUAGACCAUCGGCUCCCUCUCUCCAAGAACUCCUCAGGGGUGACUCGAACUCACAACCUCUUGGUUGGAAGUGGAGGGUGCUCACCACUAGAGCAACCUACUCUUGUCAAAUAAUUGAGUUAAAAUAUCCCCUUAAAUUCAAAUUAAUUAGUCUAUUCAAUCGAAUGUUUAAGUUGAAUUUGUGUAUGGCAGAGAAUAUUUUUUCUGAUCAAAUUAGAAUCAAGGAACCAUUUAGUUUACAUGUUCUGAGUUUGUUAAUGUAUUUUAUCUACUUUGAAUGUCCUGAAAAGCGUUUUUAUUUUGAUGUGCAGAUUUCAUUGUCUCAGUUAAAAAAGUGGAUAAAAGCAAGAAAAGUAAUAACUACUGAGCAAUUCCAAAUGUAGUUUAAGCAUUGUUUACCCAAUUUCUAAAUUUAAAAUUUAUUUGUCUAAAACCUCUGUUUUGUUUUAAGUGGCAGAACUGUAUAAACUAAAAUGAACUUGUAGGCAAGAAUUAUGAAAACGGAGAAUUGAUCCUAAAAUAUUUAGGAAGCUUCUUGUCCAAACACAAAGUCACAUCCAAACAACAUAUAUUUUACUUUAUAGUCAUGCUUUUACAAGUUCGUAGCCGGUAAGUAAAAUGACAGUCUUUCAUUUCACUUUCAGUAAAAUUAUCAUUUACUAAUUUCUUUCACAUUCAGUGAUAUCUGUUAUUGUCUAUCAAUAUCUCUCUUUCUUUUACCCUCUAUCUCUCUCUUCCUCUUCUUUUAUAUAUUCUUCAGGUAUUGCAUUUCUUUUCUUUUAUCAGGAUUAAGGGAGAAUCAAGUGGAGAACAUGGAAAAGAAACACUCAGCCUAACAGGUGAGCAAUGAAGCUUUUGGUCAGAUUUUAUCCUUGAAUUUCUGUUUGAUUUGUUGCUAAAUGCAGUGAAGUUUGCGUAUUUUAGUUUCAUAUUAGCGUUUCAAAGUUACUGGAUUGAAUAGUCAUAGUUGCUCCUACGCGGAGGUUGUGUUGAGUCUCCUAUUUGAUUGAUAUGUUUACGACUUCAUUAUUUGCAUUUCUCUCUUUUAAUGGUUUGCCACUUUGGUGUUCUUGCUUGUUCGAACUCCUGGUAACUUUAAGUCAAUGCGAUUAGCGAAAAUUGCUUUGGAAAUAGCUGCAUGGUUCAUGUGCUUACAUCAAGUUUCUGAAUUACUAGAAGAGAGGAGAAAUUUUAUGCACGUAUAUAACUUGAACUUGCAAAUGUUUCAAAUUGAUAAGAGUAUUGACAUGGGAGAUUAUACGAUCUCUUCUCUAAUUGGUGCUAUCUUGAGGGAUUUUAUGUUGCGUGUCGUAAAUAUUUAGUAGAUCUCCAACACUAAAUGGAUACCAAAACAUUUAGUAAAAGAGCAUUUUUGAACAAACGAUAAAUUGAAAUUAUGUCGAAUAAUUCAAAGAACUUCAAUUAUACCUCCUGUAUAUGUGUAUAUUAUAACAAAAGCCAAUGACAAAUACGAGAUAUUGUGAAUUGUGCACCAACAAAUAUAAAAAAGGAACGAAAAAGAUGUAAAUAAGGAAUAACAGACAUCCCAGAAAAAUGAGAAGUGAUAGACUGUCGCAUAAGGAGAAACCUGAGAAUGGAAAAUGAUUGGUAUUUGCCAUCCUUGACCGAGUUCAUUCUAAAACAAAACUGAAAUAUAUUUGUUUACCUAAGAGUCUCAAGAUAAAGAAGUGUCUUUUCCCUUUUGCCAAGGUUAAAUAAAAGCAUUAUCCUGCACUUCAUCGAAUAAGUUAAAGAUGACAAAGCAUUAAACCCAUAUGACACUAGCUAUAGAGAAAAUCAAAAGAAACUACCAACAAUCAUAAAAAGUUAAGAUAAAGGCCUAGAAAUAGAUAGAGGGGUAAAUAGAAUGUCUUUGAAUAAAAACAAAGAAGGGUAGCUUGGUUGAAGAGUAAAAGGGAUCCAAUGCGGGUAAAAGGGUUAAUUCAUCUGUAUUUUCAUAAUUGAUUGGUGUUUAUUUGUUUUCUGAAGGUAUAAAAGUGGUAAUAUAAGUCUUCUCAUAGUUAAAUGAUAUUUUGGAAUGUCAGAGGUUGGCUACCAAGCUGGGUUCUAUAGCAAGUUACUCAUUGCUGAUGGUUAGGAUGUGCUUGUGUGCUUGAAAAUAUAAACAAUUCCUGUGCGUUUGGGUAUUGUAUUUAUAAUAGUUAACUGUGGUUGGACAAUAUUUCUAGAGCCAUACACUAUUCGUAUGUCCUCUUCCACACAUAUUGUACAGAAAGUGCCAUAUUAUGCCCAUAUUGUAUUUAUUUUGUUAUGAUUAUCCAUGUUUAAUUCAUUAUGGAGGACUAUUUCACUUCCAUUAAAAUAUGGAUAAUAUUUCAAUUUUGGUUAGGCUGGAGACCUAUUGGUUUAUGUCAAGAUAUUGGUCAUAUUUUCUCCGCGUAUUUGAGUAAUUAAAUAUGUUAUGUUAAAGCUCUAGAUGAGUUAUUCUAUUGACAAAAAAGCUUAUGACUUUCCUAGAAGGGUAUGAACUGAGGGAGAAAUUCUUAAACAAGUCGUAUAUGCUAAGAAGCAAACUGAAGCACACGAUAGCUUAGGUUUGUCUAAGAUUAAUCCGUUGAGAAAGGAGAGAUAGAAGACGCUUUGAUGGUGGCAAAACUUUACUUCAACAUCUGAAUAUCUUGCUUUAUUUUUUGUACUUUUGAUGUAAAUCUUUGAAUAUAUUAGUAUUAGUAAAUAUAAAACGAAUACUAGAUUUUUAGUUUUCUCUAUAGCUAAAAGCAUUGGUAUGCCUUUGGUCUUUUGCACCUUACUGAACAAAGAAAGGGUAUUCACACUUCAUGUACGAACUUUUUUAUGCACAUGGAGAGUUGAUUGCUUCACAUAGAAAGAAAAUUGUUUUUAUGAUUGCCAAGCUAGAAAAAUGCAAAAUGUACUGUAUGUUGAAACCUUCCAAUCGUAGCGCCCGUCUACCUUUGAUAUGAAAUUAUGAAC